rnacentral:rRNA from 1 species
UACCUGCACCCCGAGUGGUCGGGACGAUUAUUGGGCCUAAAGCAUCCGUAGCCGGUUCUGCAAGUCCCCCGUUAAAUCCAGCUGCUCAACAGAUGGGCCGCGGAGGAUACUACAGAGCUAGGAGGCAGGAGAGGCAAGCGGUACUCAGUGGGUAGGGGUAAAAUCCGUUGAUCCAUUGAAGACCACCAGUGGCGAAGGCGGCUUGCCAGAAUGCGCUCGACGGUGAGGGAUGAAAGCUGGGGGAGCAAACCGG